GCACAGCCAUGAAUUUAUGGGGAGCAUUUCCCACAGCCAGCACUGGAAUCAGAGGCCAUCCUCUGGCAUUAAUGACACCCCAAACCCCAUUGUGUUUGGCUUUUUUCAGAGGCCAUCCCCUGGCAUUAAUGCCAUCCCCAACACCGUUGUGUUUGGCUUUCCCACCCCAGCACAUCCAGGCCGCUCAGCAACCUCAGGCCUGUGGGGAUUGGGGUUGAGUGGGAGCACGGCCAUGCCAAGGUGAUGGAGAAGCUGUUGCUGGCACUGGGUGUUUCUGAGCGUGGGAGAAAGCCCUGGCUGGCUCUGUUUGCCCUGGCAGUGCCCGCUCAGCCCCGGCCUUUCCAAGAGGGGACAUUUUCCACAGGAGCCGGGAGAAGCCUCCGUGUCCAUGCCAGAGCUGAGUCAGCCUGGUUGUGAGGGAAGGAGUGUAUGUAUUUGUGUGUGUGGGGGGAAUUAAACAGUCAAUCAUGCUUUCAGCAAGCCUGAAAUCAUCUGUGAUAUUUUUAUUUCCAGAUUCCCGGCUCCAGUUUUUGUGGGAAGGUUGUUCCCAGUGUGCCGGCCGCGGUGACGCCAUGCUGAGGGCAGCCCUGGCACACUGGGCCUGGGGGUGGUGAGCAAAGCCUGGCACCAUCCCAUCCAUCCAUCCAUCCAUCCAUCCCAGAGCUCCCCUCAUCCCUGCCCCACAAGCUGAGGACUGGGGGCAAAUUUCAGCAGUGAAUUUGCUUUUCAGCCCCUCAGUGGCCCAGGGGAAGGUGGGCACGUCCUCUCCUUGUGUGGCUGCUCUUCCCGAUGGACACCCAGGGGCUGUGGCACCUCAGAGGCCUCCUGGAGCCACCUGCCAGGGCAGAGAAUGGUGUGCAAGUGAGAACACUGCUUUGGGAAAAGCUGGGAACACAAGGAGCCUGCUGGGAUGGAGCCUCUGCACUCAGGAAAAGCAAAUAUCUAAGAUGCUGCAGGGAAAAAAAAGGAAAAAAAAAAGCUGUUCCUGACUCUCCCUUGUGGAUGGGGAUUUGCUGUCUGUGAACUGGGGUAUGCAGUGAGCAAGAGCCUGGAGCAGAAUGACAAAUGGCAGUGGCACUGUCACCUCUAAUUAAUUAAUUAAUUAAUACCCUCUGUAUGACAGCCCUGGGGCCAGGGGAAGGUGUGGGAGCAGGACAAGAGGCAGCUGCUCAUCACCCGGGCUGAUUUAGGAAGGUGAGAGAUGUUAAUGAAAGAGAUUCUCACCUCCUGGUGCCACAUCCCCUGCUUGGUUUUGGGGUGGUUCAGGUGAACCCUGGAUUUGCUCUCCUUGGGCUCUCAGCUGCUCUCCUGGGAGCCACCACUGUGCAGCUGUGGUGACCUCGGGGGUGGCAGUGACAUCCCUGGAAAGGUGUGGAGGGCUCAUCCAAGGCUGGCUCCUGCAGCUUCUGACGCCUUCUGCGCUGACAUGAACUUUACAGAAUUCUCAGAAUGAUCAGGUUGGAAGAGACCUUCAAGAUCAUCGAGUCCAACCCAGCCUCAACAGCUCAGCUAAACCCUGGCACCCAGUGCCACAUCCAGGCUUUGUUAAACACACCCAGGGAUGGGGACUCCACCACCUCCCUGGGCAGCCAUUCCAAUAUUUUAUCACUCUUUCUGUGAGAAAGUUCUUCCUGAUAUCCAACCUGUAUUUCCCCUGGCACAGCUUGAGACUCUGUCCUUGACCUGAGUGAGGUGGGGAGAUGUGGACACUGAACCAGGCUGGUGUAGGAACAGAGAGGAUGGAAUAAAAGCUCUGUGUUUUUUGUGAUUGCUGCUGGC
ensembl:lncRNA